GAUGAAGAACGCAGCGAAAUGCGAUAAGUAAUGUGAAUUGCAGAAUUCAGUGAAUCAUCGAAUCUUUGAACGCACCUUGCGCCCUUUGGCCAUUCCGAAGGGCAUGCCUGUUUGAGUAUCAUGAACACCUCAACUCUCAUGGCUUGCCAUGAUGAGCUUGGCCUUUGGGGGUCUUGCUGGCCUGUGGUCGGCUCCUCUCAAAUGAAUCAGCUUGCCAGUGUUUGGUGGCAUCACAAGUGUGAUAACUAUCUGCGCUCGUGGUUUCCAUCAGAUAACCUCCAGUGAUGGAGGUUCGCUGGAGCUCAUAAAUGUCUCUCCUAAGCGAGGACAGCUCUUUUAAUGUUUGAUCUCAAAUCAGGUAGGACUACCCGCUGAACUUAAGCAUAUCAAUAAGCGGAGGA
rnacentral:misc_RNA from 1 species